UGGAAAGGCGGCCCCUGGGGGCCAGGG
rnacentral:piRNA from 1 species